GAUGAAGAACGCAGCGAAAUGCGAUAAGUAACGUGAAUUGCAGAAUUCAGUGAAUCAUCGAAUCUUUGAACGCACAUUGCGCCCGCCAGUAUUCUGGCGGGCAUGCCUGUUCGAGCGUCAUUACAACCCUCAGGCCCCCGGGCCUGGCGUUGGGGAUCGGCGGAGCCCCCCGUGGGCACACGCCGUCCCCCAAAUGCAGUGGCGGUCCCGCCGCAGCUUCCAUCGCGUAGUAGCUAACACCUCGCGACUGGAGAGCGGCGCGGCCACGCCGUAAAACACCCAACUCUUCUGAAGUUGACCUCGAAUCAGGUAGGAAUACCCGCUGAACUUAAGCAUAUCAAUAAGCGGAGGA
rnacentral:misc_RNA from 1 species